AUGGCAUCACGUAUGACUCCAGACCACCUAUUUGGUUUCGGCGCCGGUGGAGUUGGGGCGGUGGAUAAUGAGGGAGAAGCAUCUUGGGUGGAUUUAUUGGUUCCUGGCAGCGGCAUGGAUGCUGGGGGCACUGUGUCAAGAUUUUCUGGAGCGGGAGAUGAAGAGGGCAAUUCGCAGGCCACAUCUGCACCGUGCUCGGAUAGUCCCUUAAUUAUGGCUGCCGCUGAUUCCUUUAUUGAAGAGGUCAUACCCCGAACCGGCAUGGGUGCAGGAACCGAUGGAAACAAUAGUGACAGGCAUGGUCCUGAGUUGUCAGAUUUUGUAGUUGACGUUUUGUCGGCCCCGGAUGGUAGUGACAAAGCUUGCGUCGUCGCCGUUACCACCUGGCGUUCGGCCUUCAGACCGCACAGCGCAUCAAUCACUGCUCGCCAGGUCAUACAUAGAUCUUUAUUGAACUUUCCACUCGUGGUGGUUGUCUGCCAUAACCGAUCUCCUACCAGCUUCCACUCAUCUGGGCUAAAGCUUAGAGGGCUUUCCUUUAGAAAACCCUCCUUCUGGGCCCAUUGCACCAGGGAUUUGAUCUUUUUCGCGCUGCAAGAUACGCCUCUCGCAGCCAGAAUGCCAGAGAGGAGCUGCACAGCCGCCUCCGCCUCCAUGGUCGCGUCAGACCGGCUGCGGGGUCGCGACCCCCGCCCUGCUGCUGGGACAACUCGCCACACGGUGGCGGCCGCCUCACGCUGUCCCCUGCCGCCUCUGGUGUCCCGCUGCAACUCGAUCCGGGAUGCCCCGCGUCCCACCGCCACUCCUUUCUCCCCGCGUGUGACCGCGAUUUUACCCCCCGGGUCCCGCCCGCGACUUCUUUGCUCCCGCAAUUUGUCUCACCACAAUUCCUUUGUCCGGGUCGCUGCUUGGAGUUUCUCAGUGUCCCUCAGGCUUUUUGUCAGGGCUCUCCGUGGCUCUCAGGGGCUGUCCGUGCCUCUGAAGCGUCUCUCAGGGCUCUCCGUGCCUCUGCAGUCUCUCCGUGUGUCUCAGGUCUCUCAGCGUCUGUCGGGUCUCUCAGCGUCUCUCAGGUCUCAGCUUCUCUCAGCGUCUCUCAGGGCUCUCAGGGCUCUCCGUGUCUGCGAAGUCUCUGUUUCUCUCAGCAUCGGUCAGAUCUCUCAGCGUCUCUCAGGUCUCUCAGCCUGUUCGGGUCUCAGCCUGUUCGGGUGCCAUAUGUUGCAGGAAGAAUGGCCGAGAGCACGACAGACACUAGUAUGGUCAGAUCAUGCUCCAUUUUAUUGCCCGAAUAGCCUAACUUUUAUAGAGAACUUAACAGGGGCGGACAGUGUCUAA
rnacentral:lncRNA from 1 species